UCCGGAGCCAACAAAUUUGAAAAAAAUUCAUAGUUUUUUGGGAUUGACCGGAUACUUCAGAAAAUUUAUUCCGAACUAUUCUAUAAUAGCUAGACCGCUGAGUGACCUGCUAAAAAAAGAUCAUAAGUUUAAGUUUAGCAUUGAAGAAAAGAAAGCGUUUAAUCAAUUAAAAUCUUUGUCAGCCCAAGAUAAAGAUACUGGAAUUAAGACUAUAAAAGAACUACUUAAAAUUUCGAAUUAUGAAGAUUAUUGCAAUAGAAACGUAAUUUUGUAUAAAUUUGUCGAUGGCAAAGAAUUGGUGGUUGUGCCAGAAAAUAUGCAAAUCGAAAUUAUAAGAACAGCUCAUGAGAAAGGACACUCUGGAAUUAAAUAUUCGGAAAAAGAAAUCGAAGAAUAUUAUUUCAUACCCAAACUUAGACAGAAAAUAGAAAACAUCAUAGCAAAUUGUGUUCAUUGCAUACUGGUGAAUCAUGAAAGAGGAAAGAAAGAAGGACUAUUACAUCCAUUGCAUAAAGAAGAUAUGCCUUUGAAAACUUUUCAUAUUGAUCAUCUCGGACCUUUGGAGAGCACCCAUAAAAAUUAUAAAUAUGUGUUAGCGAUAAUAGAUGCUUUUACCAAGUUUGUAUGGAUUUAUCCCAC